AGCAGUCGCCACGGUAAUACAGAGGGUGCGAGCGUUAAUUGGAUUUACUGGGCGUAAAGCGUGCGUAGGCGGCUUCUUAAGUCGGAUGUGAAAUCCCUGAGCUUAACUUAGGAAUUGCAUUCGAUACUGGGAAGCUAGAGUAUGGGAGAGGAUGGUAGAAUUCCAGGUGUAGCGGUGAAAUGCGUAGAGAUCUGGAGGAAUACCGAUGGCGAAGGCAGCCAUCUGGCCUAAUACUGACGCUGAGGUACGAAAGCAUGGGGAGCAAACAGGAUUAGAUACCCCAGUAGUCCCUGUCUCUUAUAC
rnacentral:rRNA from 1 species